ACAACAACAUUCGGACCGUCGGUCUACCGAGCAAUAUCACCCGCUCGGUGGAAGAUCUUCGCUUUGUCGUCUAAG
rnacentral:pre_miRNA from 1 species